CACUUGACUUCAGCCAACCAAGAGAACAGGCUGGCUUCAGGCAGGGAUAUGCUACAAUGGGUCACAUCCAUGGCAUUCAAGCAAUCGAGAAAUUUGCACAGUACAAUAAACCCCUCUAUAUGGCUUUCAUAGAUUUUGAAAAGGCACUUAAUUCAGUGUAAAUACCAGCAGUCAUAGAGGAAUUGCGUAAUCAAGGAGUACAGGAGGCAUACGUGAAUAUACUGGGAAAUAUCUACAAAGAUUCCACAGAUACAUUGGUUCUCCACAAGAGAAGUAGAAAGUUACCUAUCAAGAAAGGGGUCAGGUAAGGAGAUACAAUCUCUCCAAUGAUAUUCACUGCAUGCUUAGAAGUAUUCAAGCUCUUAGACUUGGAAGGCUUAGGAGUGAGGAUCAACGACGAAUAUCUCCUUCGGUUUGCAGAUGACAUUGUCCUAUCCAGCAACAAUGGGGACGAAUUACAACAAAUGAUUGAGGACCUUAACCGAGAAAGUGCAAGAGUGGGGUUGAAGAUUAAUAUGCAGAAGACAAAGAUAAUGUUCAAUAGCCAGGCAAGGGAACACGAAUUCAGGAUCGCCAGUCGGCCUCCAGAGUCUGUAAAGGAGUACGUUUAUCUAGGUCAAUUAAUCACAGGGGACCCUAAUCAUGAGAAAGAGAUAUACAGAAGAAUAAAAUUGGGUUGGAGUGCAUACGGCAGGCAUUACCAAAUCCUGACUGGGAGAUUACCACUGUCGUUGACGACAAAAGUGUACAAUCAUUGCAUUCUACUGGUCCUAACAUAUGGCGCAGAAACUUGGAGGUUAGCAAAGAAGCUAGAGAACAAGUUGAGGACCACACAAAGAGCGAUGGAACGAAACAUGCUAGGUCUAACGUUAAGAGGCAGGAAGAGAGCGGUGUGGAUCAGAGAGCAAACGGGGAUAGCCGAUAUUCUAGUUGACAUUAAGAGGAAAAGAUGGAGCUGGGCAGGCCAUGUAAUGCAUAGGAUGGACAACCGGUCGACCAUUAGAGUUACAGUAUGGAUACCAAGAGAACGAAAGCACAGUCGAGGACGGCAGAAAACUAUUGGGGUGAUGAAGUUAGGAAAUUUGCAGGCGCAAGUUGGAAUCAGCUUGCGCCUGUAAGUUGCGCCUGCAAUCUGCUUGCGCCUGAAAUCAGAAGACAGGGGCAAUUGGAGAUCGCAGGGAGAGACCUUGGUCCCUCUGUGGACAUAAAUAUAAGCUGAUGAUGACGAUGAUGAUGAUGAUCAUGAUGAUGAUAUAUACUGUAAAGCAGACCAACAAUCGGCUAUCUGCCGGAACGCCUGUUUACUUCUGCCUCUUCUGCUUUUCUCGCGCCCGCCGCGCCCAAGUGCGUAUCUUUGUCUUCACACUCGGCCAUGCUGCGGACCUGAAAAAAAGGAAUCGACAGUUCACUUCAAAACUGACAGUUCAGUUCAACCGCCAGUACCUUUUCUUGAGGCACGACACGUGCACGGGGAACUUAUUUCUGUUACGCCUGUCGAGGCUGGCACCUGGAACUGAGGUGCUCACGCGCCAGGGGUCGCGCCCGCCGCGCCCAAGUGCGUAUCUUUGUCUUCACACUCGGCCAUGCUGCGGACCUGAAAAAAAGGAAUCGACAGUUCACUUCAAAACUGACAGUUCAGUUCAACCGCCAGUACCUUUUCUUGAGGCACGACACGUGCACGGGGAACUUAUUUCUGUUACGCCUGUCGAGGCUGGCACCUGGAACUGAGGUGCUCACGCGCCAGGGGUUCUCUCCUACAUAUGCGCUCAGUGAAGGGUGUUACGUCUCAACUUGGUCCAAAGUAUACCUUGGACGUUUACCACGAGGCUGCCCCUUUCAUCAGCGUCGUCCAGACGGCGAUAGCGCCAGACACCAACCCUGACAAGCUGACCGUCACGAAGAUGCCAUGGAUUGAGGCGAGAGGUCAAGUUCGAGGAAUUACUACCGUGGGAACCUCAACGAUAUCGGUUUCCGAGUUGACCACACAGUGGCAGCAAAUUUGAGGGCGAGGAGGCAACAGUAGAGGCGGAGUUCGGUGAACAAUACAACCCCUCUGAUUGGCCGCACCAAAGUCAGCAGAUUCCCCAGUCGAGUCUCCUAGGGAAGACGAAGGGAUUAAAAGCGGAGACCGGUGGUGCACUGGGGGUGGUGCAGACGUGACCUGAUACGAACUCAGACGUUCAAUAUGCUCCUGAUGGAGUGGGCUUCCGUACGAGGGGGCAGUGUAAAUAAUGUAAAUUAAAUCAGUUGCCGAUUUCCUACUACUGGAUGUAUUCAUCGAUCGUGUAUUCUUGGCCCAAACGCCACCUCGAGCCGCAACAACGGCCCUCAUUCAAAACGGUGGUAGUAACGACUGGCCUGGCGAGGUGACUCCCCUUUGUAGCCACACCUCGUCACGGACGUGAUACACCGGAGCAGGUCAAUGUCGGAGGUCAUAGUUGGCGCUUCUGCGUUUCUUGCGCUUGUGAAGCUCCACUGAUCGCUGCUGUUCUGACCUUUUCAAAAGACGGACGCUCGGUCGGCGCUGCUGGAGAUGAUAACCCGAGUGCCUACGCUGUGGACCGCUUGAGCUAGCCUGUAGUGGAUGAUGAAUUGCAUCUCCAUGCAAAUACUACGUCGCUGCUUGUCCUUCAGUGCUUGCGGGGAUCGGCAGUCGGCCCUUUUCAAACGCAAGCAAAUGCCGACCGGCACUUGGCGGCACCUCACUGCUCUCGACUAAAAAAGUAUGCAUGCACUGCAUAGGAAUCGCUGUAAGCGAAGCUCUGAUGCGCCGGCAUGACGAAACGGUGCACCCAGCGACAGAAGUAAGCUAUUCGCUUUAAAAACGGGAGAAAUAACCAAAGAAGUAAAUUCGAUUUAUUAAACAAGUGCUGGUGGGCUGUCAGGCAGGAUAUUUGUUGAAGUGAAUAUAUUUAUGUAUACAGCGCUUAUUAUUUCGUUGCGUGAUUUCGGGAAGCACAUAAUUGGUGACCGGCACAUCUGUAGCGAUAGCUCAAAUGGCUGCAGGUAUAGUUACGUGGGAUGUCCUCUGGUAAGCUAUCCAGCAAGACAGCAGCAAACACUGGGAGGGCUCGCACAAAAUUCUUUGUUUUAUGAGCGGUAACCGAAAAAAACUACGUUUACGGCUUGCUUUAGACGUUGCGAGCUUCAAUUUUGUCUGUAUGAAUGUCCCCAGAAACUUUAUGUGAAACUCGUACGAUAUGAGGCAACCUCCAUUUAUUUUUAUCUGAAUAAGAUAAGAAAAAAGACGCGACAAAACGUAGUAACUGUUAAUCUAACAAGACGAUACUGUCCAGUCUAGUUAUAAUUAUUUGUUGCUUGGUCUAUUUGUCAAAUAGAUGUUGUUGCGAAGAUGUAAAACAAACAAUCUGAGCGUGAAAUAACUUGAUAAUUUGACUGAAAGAGUGCAUGUUUAUGACACGCGCGUAAUCAUUUUUUGGUCAUUUUUGGAUCCGUACUAAUUAUGGCCGAGAAAUGAUCGCAUAUACAUUGCCUACUCUUUUAAACAACCAGCAUUGUUUUCUGUUGUGCUGCUGUUGUUAAGUUUUGAUUUUAUACUGGAAAGUUUCUCCAAGUUUUGAUAAAUUUUGAUGCCGUGCAGAAAAGUAAAGUAUUUGCUUUUUAAUGUUAUUUGCAACACUGUUAGUUUUAUUUUCAGAUGUAUAGUUUUGGCAUUGUGAGCUUGUCGCAUAGGAACAUUUCCUGUUGCCCCUGUCAAAGUUCAGUUAUUGGUUACAGACCCCGUCAAGCCUUUUUUUGGCUUUUAGUCGGUGCCCCCAGUAUUUUGUACAUACUAUAAUGUACCAUAAUGCCGAAAUAAAAUGAAUGAAUUAAUUAAUAAAAUUAAAUGGUAUCGUGAUUGAGAUUAUGGCAUGCCUAAACGCGGACACAAUAACGCCGCAAUAAUGCCAAAGUAUGUGCCUAUUUAGUGAAAAGUUACAUACGAUUGACUGUGAUGGAAAUUCUGGAGGGCACGAGAGAAAUACCCCAUUUCUGAAAAACUAAGCUGAACCUUUUUCCUGGACAAUAACGCGCUGACAAGUCAACUAAAUUUAAAGGUGCGUACAGCGAAACACCCAUCGCUUCGUGUCUGGAGAAACAUUAAUACCGUGCAUUACAACUAACGCGAACCGCUCCGGUAGCCAUUGCCUAGGCACUCGUUUCUUCCACUGUAAAUAAGUAAACGCCGGUUUAACUAUGAUCCGCUUUGCUAUACUACGCGCUGGGAAGGGCGAAAUAAAGGUUGCGAAAUAAAGGCACUUCUGUACAUGCGGUGCACACGGCCUCUCAAAGCGGUCUUAAAUGAGUGUACGCAGACCACGCUGAAGCGCACGUGGAGUGGUUCUAGCCAAGCAACAAAAUUUCCUUGCAAGGCCGGUUUUGGUUUGGUGGAUAACCUUUACGGGCGACCCACGCAGCUUCGUCAGUGAAGUCAUUACCAACAAUGCCGGUGCGACCUGGUUGCCGCUGAAAGGUGAUGACACGUCCGGCUUAAAUGGCGUAGUGGCAGUCCUGUCUUAAUUGCCUCAUAAUAUCUACUGGUCAAUCCUGCGGUGUAAGGCAACUUUCAAGCUGCGAGAUUCUCAAGGAAUGAUGCAUUUGCGAGGUCGCUCUUGUAGGACCUAUUUUACAGCCAUAUGCAGGGCAGCAAGCUCUGUCACCGCUGAUGUCAUCUGGGCCAUAAUUAACCUUCAUUGUGACUAUUGUAGCGGGAAUAAAAACGGCGCCAGUGAAGCUGGCGGCUAAAGUCUGUAUGAAUGUGCCAUUUCACAAUAUUUAUAUUCAGUACCAGCAGUGCCGCCUAGGGGGGGGGGGGGGGGGGGGCAUUUGUAGGUCUACACGCGGUCGUCUUCGUAAUCCCCGUAAUGCUCAGGAGAGCUUGUGUUAUGGGAGACACCUGUAUCGAAAUGAACGCUGUGCUGCUGGCGUAUGCCCCGAUGAACGACGCACUUUGUAGGUGCAUGAUUAUUUCCCAAAUGUAGGUCCAGGUCCUCGAGACGGUUGGAGGGCUUUGUGGGGAUCAGAGAUCCCGCGAAAUAUGACGAAUGUUCGUUAUACGACAGUCACCAGUGGUGCACGUUUGAAUUGAAUGAUCUCUGGUGAGCACGACUGUUGUGGACUUGAAACAGCUCGAGGAAGUCCAAACACGCCCUUGCCGUAUAGGCUAUUCGAUGAGCGAUCUGUUGGACAACAAUGCAGGCUGAAGCUUAGAAAGCCCAAGAAGAACGUACUGUACGACCGCGGCACGAAGCGUAGUACAUGCGUGGUGUCGCCCACGAAUUCCAUAUUCAUAAAUGACAAUGCGCAACAAUGCGCAUUUGGUAGGAGCCGGUCAGUGACAAACAUAUAAAUACAUCGACAAGUUAGACGAGUGGUUCUAGGAGGCAAGCAAGCCGCUUCAACCGGUAUCUGUACAUGUCAGACAGCUCACAAUAAAGGAUCACUUGUUGGCGCCCA